rnacentral:piRNA from 2 species
UCCUAAUACAACUCGCUUCUCUCCCUUGCC